rnacentral:rRNA from 1 species
AUCGCGUGGGUGAUCUACCUAGAGGUGGGGGAUAGCCUCGGGAAACCGAGGGUAAUACCGCAUGAGUCCUCAAUGACAUAAGUCGAUGAGGGGAAAGGCGGGGCUCCUUCGGGACCUGUCGCCUCUGGAUGAGCCCGCGUCCGAUUAGCUAGUUGGUGGGGUAAUGGCCUACCAAGCAACGAUCGGUAGCCGGCCUGAGAGGGUGAACGGCCACAUUGGGACUGAGACACGGCCCAG